rnacentral:rRNA from 1 species
UACGGGGGGAGCAAGCGUUGUUCGGAUUUACUGGGCGUAAAGGGCGCGUAGGCGGCCACCGCAAGUCGACUGUGAAAUCUCCGGGCUUAACUCGGAAAGGUCAGCCGAUACUGCGGGGCUAGAGUGCAGAAGGGGUAACUGGAAUUCUCGGUGUAGCGGUGAAAUGCGUAGAUAUCGAGAGGAACACCUGCGGCGAAGGCGGGUUGCUGGGCUGACACUGACGCUGAGGCGCGAAAGCUAGGGGAUCGAACGGG